rnacentral:rRNA from 1 species
CACGUAGGGUGCGAGCGUUGUCCGGAAUUAUUGGGCGUAAAGGGCUCGUAGGCGGUUUGUCGCGUCGGGAGUGAAAACCCAGGGCUUAACUCUGGGCUUGCUUUCGAUACGGGCAGACUAGAGGCAUGCAGGGGAGAACGGAAUUCCUGGUGUAGCGGUGAAAUGCGCAGAUAUCAGGAGGAACACCGGUGGCGAAGGCGGUUCUCUGGGCAUGUCCUGACGCUGAGGCGCGAAAGCCAGGGGAGCAAACGGG